CGGUUCCGCCAUUUGAAAAAAAACGUUCGUAACUGCUCAGCUGAACCCGAAGCUUGAUGAAGAAGGCCGUCAAUAUUUCAACAAAAACUAACAGAAUAUGGAUCAGAUUCGGACAACGACUUCUUAAGACAUUCACACAACAGGCUAAACAAUUCAAAGAGGGAUCUCUGGAUGAUCGAGCAGCAAGUCCAGCAUUAUGUGGGAAAGAUACUACAGGUGUACACAGAAAAGGCCAUGUUCUUGUACAAGACACGGUUGGAGUUCAUAAAAGAUUAAGCUGCCUCGUGCUAUACAGACUUGGAUAAAAACAAGCUGUCCAAUGAAUGGUGACUACUCAAGAGGAGCCAGAAAGUCAACUAAAGCCAGGGUAUUUUGGGAGUUGAUAUGGCCGGGGAAGGGGGGAGGGGGGGGGGUUUCCAGGGCCCCCCCCCCCUUCCUUGAGAUCUUGACCGCACAAUCGCGUCUAACAUUGGCACAUGGGUUGUCUAGGGCAUAAUUUACAAAAUUAAAUUGUAAAUUAUUUCACGCAAAUUGUUAGUAAGUGAUAAUACUAAUUUAUGCGUAAUUAUAAUACAAAAUCAUACUUUUUCCUCUAUUGCAUUGACUUUGUACACAAAAUCACGUUUUUGAGCAAUUUUUGGUAUGACAUGUACUUACAUAAUGUCACGUUAUUACAGAACCACGUACUGGGUGACACAAGAUUGGUCUCAAAAGAUGCACAAGACUAGAAAGAGGCAUGUUUUAAAAAAAUUGUGCGACAGCAUGGUCGCAAAAUUUUUGGAAGGGGGGGGGGUCAAAUUGGUCCAAUUUAACUAAGGGUUAAUAACUGGGAGGCUGUUAGCUGCCUUUUUACUUUCAAGUCUUGCACAUCUUUUGAGACCAAAUUUGUGAUGCCUGGGUACGCUGUUCCGAAAUUUCGCAACAUUUUUAUGUAUUAAUCCAACACAAAUACUGUUUCUUGCUAAAAAUUCACAAUUAGUAUACCAGUAAUAUACAUUUAUCAAGUCAAAUUAUUUAAUUACAUUUAUAAUCAUAAAAGCUUUGAUAAAGUAUAAAAAAAAACAAAGAGUUGUAUGUAGGCCUGGGACUUUCGGGUUUUUUCUCUUCGGGUACCCGUGGUAAUUUUCGGGUGGGUACCUGAAAAUCAUGUCACUUGAAAUAUGACUGGUGGAAACACCCCAUAGGUGACGUCAUCAAGCCAAUGCGAUGCAAGCCAAUUUAUGAAUGAAAAUAUAGUAAGCAUGCGCAUUGCAAGCCUCCCGUGCCCCACGCAGUAUUCCAUCUAAACAAGUUUCAAUACUCUGUCACCUCGUACCAAAAUCGACCUAGAAUUCCACUUUCCUAUAUAUCAUAUGAAUUAUAAAAGGUUUUCUCACCGAUACUGCACAGGUAAGCAAAUUUUUAUUCUUGCUUUUCCGUCAAAAUCUUACGAAGUAGCAUCGAUAUUACAUCGUGUUCGUGAGUUUGUAUCGCUACGUGAACAAAGUCAAUUGAUUUCCGGGUUUCGGAGCGUCAAAUGCGCCAGCCAAUCACGAUCGUGUUCCCAUUUUCGGUUUAUGAUGAACUAAAAAUGGUAACAAGAACGUGAUUGGCUGGUGCUUCGUAGGUCGAUUUUGGUAUGAGGUGACAGAGUAUUGCAGACUUGUUUUGACGUAAUACUGCGUGGGGCUGAGGCUUGCAAUGCGCAUGCUUACUAUAUUUUCAUUCAUAAAUUGGUUUGCGUCGCAGUGGCUGGAUGACGUCACUGCGCUGCAAAAGAAACAUGGCGAUGAUUGAACGAUCUCGGUCACAUCAUCAUCACUUGAAAACUUGUAUAUUUAUGGAUAUUUAGAGGGUAAUUGGUGAAAUUCAAAAUGAGGCUUGUGUACUUUUGUAAUGAGUUACAAUCAUGUCUUACACUACGCAAUACAAAUCAAAUACAUGUACAUUAUACUGGUGAGCAAUUUUCGGGUAUCGGGUAUUGAUUUUUCUACUCGGGUACCCGGGUUUUAGUCCCAGCCCUAGUUGUAUGAAAAUUUUCAAAAAUAAUGAAAGGUAAAAGAAAACAAGAUUACAAUGUCCAUUGCAAGGGGGCUAGUCUAGCUAUUCAGGAUAAUUGGGAUUUUAUUCAGUUUUUAAUUGACAUAACAUUAUGACAAGAUCCCUCCAGUUAGUGUAUAAACAGCACAUGGCCAUGAUUGAAAUUCAUAUAACAUUAAAGUAUGCAAACCAGGCAGCUACAUGUACAUGUAGGACUCACUGCUUGUCAAUUCUAUUGUCUGCCAGGGUCAAGUGACAUACAGUGCACAUGUAUAACAUGUGUGAAAGUACAUAAGAAAAUCAGCUUUUUAUUUUUGUACUGUAACAUUGGGUGAACUGGUGAUCACUUUGGAUAUGAUGCUCUUCAUAUUGGUUUAUUUUAUGUAUAUGAAUUUUUGGAUAAUCAUUAAGAAUUAAAGCCAUUUACUUAAUAUAUGGAAGCAUCAAAGAACAGAAUUAUGUCAUGUACAGCUAAUUCAUUUUGCGUGAUAUUACAAUUGUAAUUGUUUACUUGAGCAAGUAAUUUGAAUUGCUGCAUGACCUAAACAAUGACAUGUUCCAAUUCGAAUAGUAACAUGACCUAAAGAAGAGUUACUCCACCUCGAUUGAGAGUGCUUAUGUUAAAUAAUUGAUGUUGCUACUUCAAAUAAUUGAGGUCAAUCAAAUUGGUCAUAAUUAUUCAAGUCAAUUUUGAGCUAUAUGUCAUAAUUAAUUAGGUCAUAUACUAAUUGAAAUUACUAAAUGACUCGAGUAGGUAUGAAUUCACAUUGCCACAUGACCUUAAUUAUUUUAUGUAGCAACAUCAAGUAUUGAACGUCAUUUAGUUAUCAAUUAUGACAUGUAGCAAAUCAAAUUACAUGCCGCAAUUUCGUGUUUAUGAUGGGCUCAUGCUUACAUUCAUAUAUAACCCUUCAAUACGUAGUUGGAGCAAUUCUUAGACAAGAAGACUGUGUAAAAUGAUAUGCCUAUUCAAUGUCAAAAAGGUUAAUGUCUCAAUAGAUUUGAUCUACGUUUUGGCAAAGUAAUCUUAUGUAAAUAUUUUUUCUAACCUAUGGUGAACGUUCUAAAUCAUGUGAAAUUCAUUCAAAAAUAUCUUUCAGUAUUUAUGGACUUGAGUGAAUUCUGAGCAAAAUGAAGUGAUUAUGAUUACGUUCAUGUACUUUAAGUUUAUACUGGUGAUCAACACAUCAUAAUUUCAUCCCUUACUGUAUGUGCACCAUGCAUUAUCUGUACAUGCAGAAGUGGUUAUCCAUUGUUUCAUAACAUGGUUGAGUAAAGGAUGUUCUGCUUUUAGUAUUAAGCCAAUCGGGUGUUGACAAGAAGGGGAAAAUGCAAUUGCUCAGCUAUUACAGUUUUUUUUGCAACCAUAAUACUGGUUAAGCCUUGGUUACAUUCGCCGGCUCGUGGCCUUACGUCGAGUCAAAAUUAACAGUCUUAAUCAUCCUUGUACCAGCUACUACCAGCUACACGUGGGUGGUUUGUACAGGAAUACCUAAAACUGCUGAUUUUGUCUCGCCGUAAGGCAACCGGUCAAGGAAUGUGACCAAGGUAUUAAUAAUAAUCGCUUAUUGUUGUGUUAGAGGGAAGGAUUCUGGGUCGAAUCUAGCUUUCUUUAUGUGAUCUCAAAAUGGCAGCAAUGUAUGAAUAGUGAAAGUAGUUCAUGUGGCUUCUCAAUGUUCAUGGAUAUAAAUCUUUGUACAUGUCUUAUCCUAAAGAUGAAAUGUUACUGCAUUAUUCUAGCAGUCAUUUAUGAUAUCAAAGAUGUUCUAUACUGUGCAUAGUACAGCUCAUACAUAAUAAAGGUAUGUGAAUAUGCUUUUAA